GCGGGGAUGGCCCAGCCCGGUAAGGCGUUGGAUUGCUAAUCCAAUGCUCGAAAGAGCUCGGGGGUUCAAAUCCCCCUCCUCGCG
rnacentral:tRNA from 2 species